UUAAGGGCGUAUGGUGGAUGCCUUGGCAAUAGAAGACGAUGAAGGACGUGACAACCUACGAAAUGCCUCGGGGAGCUGGAAGUAAGCUUUGAUCCGGGGAUGUCCGAAUGGGGGAACCCACUUGUAGUAACUUACAAGUAUCCUAGUCUGAACACAUAGGACUAGAGAAGGCAACCCAGUGAACUGAAACAUCUUAGUAACUGGAGGAGAAGAAAGAAAGUCGAUUACCUUAGUAGUGGCGAGCGAAACGGUAAGAGCCCAAACCAAUCUUAGGAUUGGGGUUGUAGGACACUCUACACGGAGUUACAAAAUUUCUUGAUAGCUGAAUGUUCUGGAAAGAACAGCUGGAAAGCGUGAUAGCCGCGUAAGCGAAAUCAUGAAAUCUCUUGAGUGUAUCCUGAGUACGGCGGGACACGUGUAAUCCUGUCGGAAUCUACGGGGACCAUCCCGUAAGGCUAAAUACUCUCUAUUGACCGAUAGUGAACAAGUACCGUGAGGGAAAGGUGAAAAGAACCCCGGAAGGGGAGUGAAAUAGAAUACUGAAACCAUAUGCUUACAAAAAGUUCGAGCCCGUUAAUGGGUGAGAGCGUGCCUUUUGCAGAAUGAGCCGGCGAGUUGUGGUGUUGUGCAAGGUUAAGUGGAAAACACGGAGCCGAAGCGAAAGCGAGUCUUAAUAGGGCGACUAAGUAUAAUGCUGCAGACCCGAAACCGAGUGAUCUAGCCAUGAGCAGGCUGAAGUAGGGGUGAUACCCUAUGGAGGGCCGAACCAGGACACGUUGUAAAGUGUUUGGAUGACUUGUGGCUAGCGGUGAAAUUCCAAUCGAACUCGGAUAUAGCUGGUUCUCCCCGAAAUAGGUUUAGGCCUAGCCUUGAAUAUUUCGUCCUGGAGGUAGAGCACUGAAUGUGGAAUGGCCUCGUCUAGAGGUACUGACUGCAAUCAACCUCCGAAUGCCAGGAAUUGUAGAUUCAGGAGUCAGUGUAUGGGUGCUAACGUCCAUACGCGAGAGGAAAAUAAUCCAGAUCAUCAGCUAAGGUCCCAAAAUAUACGUUAAGUGGGAAAGGAUGUGGAAUCGCACAAACAGCUAGGAGGUUGGCUCAGAAGCAGCCAUCCUUUAAAGAGUGCGUAAUAGCUCACUAGUCGAGUGAUUCUGCGCCGAAGAUGUACCGGGGCUAAAACGUAUUACCGAAGCUAUGGACUUAAUUUAUUAAGUGGUAGGGGAGCGUUCUUAGGGCACUGAAGGUAGACCGUAAGGACUACUGGAGCGCUAAGAAGUGAGAAUGCCGGUGUGAGUAACGUAAGGAGGGUGAGAAUCCCUCCCACCGAUCGACCAAGGGUUCCAGGGUAAAGUUCGUCUUCCCUGGGUUAGUCAGGAACUAAGGCGAGGCUGAAAAGCGUAGCCGAUGUACAACUGGUUUAUAUUCCAGUACUUCCUAAACGAGUGAUGGAGCGACGGAGAAGGAUAGCAAGAGCCUAUUAUUGGAUUUAGGUUUAAGCGCAAAGGUUGGUGCAUUAGUAAAUCUGUGACACUAUUAAUACUGAAACGUGACGACGUCGAAGUCUUACGACUUCUAAGUCUUGUGAAUCCAUGCUUCCAAGAAAAACUUCUAAACUUAUCGUUUGGGAACCUGUACCCAGAACCAACACAGGUGGUCAAGAAGAGAAUUCUAAGGUGAGCGAGAUAACUAUGGUUAAGGAACUCGGCAAAAUUACCCCGUAACUUAGGGAUAAGGGGAGGCGGAGCGAUCCGCCCGCAGUGAAUAGGCCCAGGCGACUGUUUACCAAAAACACAGGUCUCUGCUAAAGCGCAAGCUGAUGUAUAGGGGCUGACGCCUGCCCAGUGCUGGAAGGUUAAGGUGAUUAGUUAGAUGGACGUAAGUCGAUAACAUCGAAGCUUUGAUCUGAAGCCCCAGUGAACGGCGGCCGUAACUAUAACGGUCCUAAGGUAGCGAAAUUCCUUGUCAGGUAAGUUCUGACCCGCACGAAAGGUGUAACGAUCUGGGCGCUGUCUCAACCAUAGACUCGGUGAAAUCUUAAUACCUGUGAAAAUGCAGGUUACCCGCGACAGGACGGAAAGACCCCAUGGAGCUUUACUGUAGCUUGAUAUUGGAAUCAGAUGAUUCUUGUAGAGGAUAGGUGGUAGACUUUGAUGUAUGGACGCUAGUUCAUGCGGAGUCGCCCUUGGAAUACCACCCUUGGAUUAUUUGAUUUCUAACUUGCAACCGUUAUCCGGUUGGAGGACAGUGUCUGGUGGGCAGUUUGACUGGGGCGGUCGCCUCCCAAAAAGUAACGGAGGCGCCCAAUGGUUCCCUCAGGUUGGUCGGAAAUCAACCAAAGAGCGUAAUGGUAUAAGGGAGCUUGACUGCGAGACCUACAAGUCGAGCAGGUGCGAAAGCAGGGCAUAGUGAUCAGGCGGUUUGAGUAUGGAAUUGCCGUCGCUUAACGGAUAAAAGUUACCCUGGGGAUAACAGGCUGAUACCACCCAAUAGUUCACAUAGACGGUGGUGUUUGGCACCUCGAUGUCGGCUCGUCACAUCCUGGAGGUGGAUUCGCUUCCAAGGGUUGGGCUGUUCGCCCAUUAAAGUGGCACGCGAGCUGGGUUCAGAACGUCGUGAGACAGUUCGGUCCCUAUCCGUCGUGGGCGUAGGAAAAUUGAGGAGAGCUGCUCCUAGUACGAGAGGACCGGAGUGGACGCACCUAUGGUGUAUCUGUUGUAACGCCAGUUGCAUCGCAGAGUAGCUAUGUGCGGACGGGAUAAACGCUGAAAGCAUCUAAGCGUGAAGCCUCCUCCAAGAUGAGUUUUCCCAUUAUUUUAAGUAAGUCCCGUUGUAGACUACAACGUUGAUAGGCUAGAGGUGGAAGAUUGGCAACAAUUUGAGCUGACUAGUACUAAUAGGACGAGGAUUUAAUCC
rnacentral:rRNA from 1 species